CAUAGCUCGUUUUGAAAGUGUUUUUUUUUUGUGGGUGUGUGUCUUUCAGUCAUUUGAGAAAUCUUGUCUUGGAAAAUCCCUAAAUAUCUGGAAGAUGUCAGAUCUUGGACUGUAAGAUCUACAUUUGUGGAUCUGUUGUAUCUCUUCUUCCAUUUAGUGAUUUUUAAACCCUCUUGGUGAGGUUGCGUGAACAUUUUGUGCACAAUUAAUUCCGUGUGUAUAUACACAGUGCGGGUUUUCUUUUCUAAUAUUAAUAUCAUUAUUCAAUUAAUUAUAAAUGUGCGUUCACUGAAGUAGAUACAUACAACUUAGUACGCAUUUAUUCUUACUUUUUAUUAUUAUUAUCCUUCAGUCUAUUUUUACUACAAUAGCUCCUAUUUUUCUAUGAACUUUUGACAAAUCCUCUCCUUUUAAAAAAAAAUCAAGUAUAAUCUUAUGGUUUUUUUCCUGUAUAUAAAAGUAUUUCCUCAUGAUUUUUUCUCCUUCAAGAAAAAAAGAAAACGUAAGAAAAUUAGAUAAAAGAGAAGAUACGGAUGAAAUUGGAACGGUUUCAUGAGCUUAAUGUUCGAAUAAGUGUGAUUUACACACAAGUUCGAAACAUAUCGUUAUAGGGGUAUUACUACCGUGAUGUCAUAGAAAAACAAAUACAUUACUAUGAUUCUUCGCCGGAACUUAAACGAAGGUUUUCGUAGUUCUUCGUUAUAUCCAUCCAGCGAGCACUAUAUACAUGGAGAGUUCACGCCUUUUCUGGAAACACGUCGGUUCAUAUUAACAUUCCUCUUUAAUAUUUCUACGUGGCUCUAAAAAAAAACUCUUUGAUUUGAUCAGCUUCUGGUCAUGGGUAGUGAUAUGAUUAAUUAUUCAACCAGACGACAUCAUAUUGGGGAAUAUAUCCCAUGUAUUCAUGAGAAACGUUCGUUUGCCAAGAAGAAUCCCUCUUUUCGUCUCCUAGUCUCAGUUUUCCUAUUUCUUCGGAAAGAGUUCCAGGGUGGGUUUCAAGUAACUCUCAUCAUCUUCACUUACUUGCUAAUUUCAAAGAAGUUUCAAAUCUCGGAAUAGGUUUCCUUAGUGACUAAGGAACAAUUAAUGCAGGAAGUGAAGUGUUUUUAUCGUUUGGACUGAGGAUUGGAUUAGACGUACGAAAAAAAUCAUUUCUAUUGUGAAUAAAUACUUUGUAGCUCCUAAAUAUAGGCAACGAUAACAUCUAUCAAGAAUUUAUUUGCAAACAUUUAAUAAAAUAUAAUCUAUUUCAAUCUAACAUUAUUGAAAUUGUUUCUCAACAAUUAAAAUCAACAGAAGUUCCAAAUGGAAACCUAGGCGUCUUAUGUUUUGAUGAAAUGAAGAUCACAGAGGAUGCCUGUUAUUCUACUCACGAACAAAGGAUUUAUGUUCCAAAGAAAAAUAUGCAGGUUCGAACUCUCCUUAAGUUGAUCAUCCGUUACUACGUGUCAAGAAGUAAUUCAUGGAUGAACUAUAUUUUUAUUCUCUUGAAAAAUCAUCCAAACGAUAACAGCUCUUCACUUUCUUCAUGAGUCGGUCCUUGGAUUAAUUGAAUCACACGAACGGCAUCUCUUCCUAAUUUUCUCAAUAUCUGGUCAUAAUACACAUUAAGAAACAUUGGGUUUCAUAGUAUAUAAAUCCUGAGGAGCUGCAUGAAGUGUCAAGAACCUUUCAGCACGGAGUUUCUAUCAGCAACAACCCUGUCUUUGCACAUAUAAUAAUAUAAUCACAAUCUCACUUCGUAGAAAGAUUCCAGUAUAUGUUUGUACGCCUCUAAGGCCUCAAGUUGCAAAACACAAGACAGACGUGGAGUUUAAUAAACAAGAUCAUCAGCCCUUUUUCUU
rnacentral:lncRNA from 1 species